rnacentral:lncRNA from 1 species
UCACAGGUUUAUGUAUCUAUUCUCUUAAGUGUUUUAGAAAUUCAUAGGGAGGACACAAAAGGUGGAAAAUGUGAAAACAUACUGUUCAUUGUUUAUCCUAACCUUGCCAUGGUUAUUAGAUAAAUGAGUGUAGGGGAAAAAAUGGCAUUAAAAGCCAUUGUGAACUGGGAAUUUUUUUCCCCUGAAGACUGUUAAUUUUAGCCCUUGAUCUGUAAAGGUCAAUUUCUAAUUCUUUUUACUGUGCAGUUUAUAUAACUUCUGCAUUUCAAGUCUAUAAAAAGCUUUUGCAGACUUUUCAUAAUAUUCUCAGGACUCCAAAAUGAGGCCUCCUUUUUCUAACUGUGGGCUGAAGUGGUUCAUUACUGCUGUUUCCUCCGCCAGGCCAGG